rnacentral:rRNA from 1 species
AACGAACGCUGGCGGCGCGCCUAAUACAUGCAAGUCGAGCGAGAAGACGUAGCAAUACGUUUGUAAAGCGGCGAACGGGUGAGGAAUACAUGGGUAACCUACCCUCGAGUGGGGAAUAACUAGCCGAAAGGUUAGCUAAUACCGCGUACGCUCCUUGGACUUCGGUUCAGGGAGGAAAGCGAUACCGUGGGUAUCGCGCUCUUGGAUGGGCUCAUGUCCUAUCAGCUUGUUGGUGAGGUAACGGCCUCACCAA